GACAGCAGUCGCCGCGGUAAUACGGAGGAUCCAAGCGUUAUCCGGAAUCAUUGGGUUUAAAGGGUCCGUAGGCGGUCUUGUAAGUCAGUGGUGAAAGCCCAUCGCUCAACGGUGGAACGGCCAUUGAUACUGCAGGACUUGAAUUAUUGGGAAGUAACUAGAAUAUGUAGUGUAGCGGUGAAAUGCUUAGAGAUUACAUGGAAUACCAAUUGCGAAGGCAGGUUACUACCAAUUGAUUGACGCUGAUGGACGAAAGCGUGGGUAGCGAACAGGAUUAGAUACCCCCGUAGUCCCUGUCUCUUAUAA
rnacentral:rRNA from 1 species